rnacentral:misc_RNA from 1 species
CCGAACCGUCAACACGAGUUGUUGCUGGCCUCUCUGAUGGGGGGCAUGUGCACGCUCUGUUGUACAUCCACUCACACCUGUGCACCCUCUGUAGUCCUAUGGCCCGAGGGACCCCGUCCCUCUGCCGUGGUUCUACGUUUUAUACACACCCUGUAGUAAAGUCUUAUGGAAUGUGUGCCGCGUUUAACGCAAUGAAAUA